rnacentral:rRNA from 1 species
GCGGGGCGCAGCAGGAGGGGAAGAGGAGAAGGAGCGAGAACGCUGGCUUUAGCGGCGGCGGCGGCGGCGAGUUGGGGCCGGCGGAGGCCACCAAAGACGGCGGCAGCGGAUCGCGCUUGCUGCGUGGAUCGGCGGGAAAUAGUGGAGGAGGAGAAUCUAAAAGGCCCGCGGAGGAGCACGCCGACACGGGAUGAGGCGUACCCUCGAUCCCAAACGCGGGGAGCAGCCUCAACUUGAGGCCGCCGGCAGGACCACGAGCCCACCAGUACCAGCGGCGGGGGAGGGGGCGGGAUUGGCGGCGCCUGCGCUCCGUCCGGCGCCGCUCCUUCUUCCUCCUGCUGCUGCUCCUCCAGCAGACGAAGUAGACGAAGCUGCCACCUCUGGAGCAGCAGACGCUAACCUCCACGCUGCGGCGUCACGCGCUGAAGAAGGACUAACGUCAGUCACGGCGGCGGCAGAGGUUCGACGUCUCAGGGCAAGGAAAGGCGGGCACGCAAAGGAGUCGCACUCUAGCUAGCCCUACAGGGAUUAGAUGACACACAUGAAAAUUGACUUAAAGGCUGUCACGCAAACGAGUCGCACUCUACCUAGUAGCUCCAAUCACACGGUCGUGGCGUGAGACGAGUCGCACUCUAAAGGCUGUCAAUUGAUUAAUCAGAAUACUCGAAAUAAUCACGUGAUGUACCAAUGUAGCGAGACGUUAAGACGUAAAGAAAUGAAGACUAUAGGAGCGAAAAGAGGUAUGAACAAAUCGCCAUAUAAAUUGACAUUUACUAUUGUUAUAAGACACGUAAAUACGUGAAGAAAUCAUCCGUUCUUGCGAUCCAUUUCUUUACUACAUUUAGAGGAAGCAGAUAAAUAUGUUCCUGUACCAUUGGCGGGGUCAAAGAAAUAAUCACUUUGGUUUGUAGACCGAGUUAUGUAGUUAGAUACCCGUAUCUGUAAACAUCCCCAAAUGUGGAAUACACGAUAAGAAAACGUCUAGCCGUCUUUAUCGGAAUCGGUUAAGGUUUAUUACUUUCAAGUUUUGUCCGUUUGAUUUUGCAAACGACGAUAUACUAUGUGUGACUUAUGUGGGUCUAUCGGAAGAAAACAAACACAACACUAGACGGCUAAGGACAAAAUCGUUAGGAAUAAACAACUAAGUUUCAGUGUCUCAAUAACUUCAAUCCAAAGAGCAUCGAUGUGCCCGUCCGACGAAUCGUAACGUGAUUGAUCAAACCACCAUCUUUUCAAAGACAAGGUCAAGAAGGGAUACAACCAGAAGUGAACGAUAAAAGUUGUCGGUGUACUUGAAUUACAUAAGAAAAAAAUAAGUCAACGGUGUGCACGACGGUAGACUUUUUCGUAAAAUACGACGACAUAGAAGGGAACCGUAGAUGUCGUUUCUACAAAUGCUACCUUUCCCCGAUAAAUCGCGGCGAACACAAACCACCUACAAAGCACGAAUACCUGUACUGUUUCAGACCCAAAACCUACCUCCAAACGGGGUCACCGCACGAAGACCCAUACCGCACCUUAGUUCACGGAGGUCGCUACGAUAGAAUUUUCGAUCACGACGAUCACUUCGUUAGCUCUUCCAAAUGGUCCCCGUCAGCCUGUACCUAUCUCCUCUAAUAAAACUUAAUUCAAACCCGUUUUUUCUGGACCUGUCUAGUUUCUUUAUGUAGGUCUGCAACGUCCAUAGUGGUAUAAGGUAACGAUAAUGAUAUAAACAUAAUCAUGGGGCUAUAAUCAUACACCAAGUAAAAGGUCUAAACUAUAAUCAUCGGACUCUUUAUUAUAUAACCUUUUUGAAUUUAAAUAACCUUUUUGUAAACGACAACCUGUCAAUACUAAAAAUCACAGAUGCGACUACCAAAGUAUAAGUCAACAACACUACUACCAUUAACAAUACUAAAUCAGUAAAUGUAACUAGACAUCGACGACAUCACCUAAUAAUGUACUAACACCUGGUACUAUACGAGUCAAAAUGUGUACAUUUUAUAUCUAAAGGGUCACCGUACACAUAACUCUACGGAAUGAACAAGCAGAUAACUAAUGAACCAAUAAACACUGAAGACGACGAGAUCACGAACGAAAUCUACUAGACUAAAAGUUAUUCACGUACAAUAUUGUGAUUUUUGUAAUACUAGUAGUUUCAUCACAUGAGAGAACGGUUCAUAAAGAGUCAUGUCCUCAAGUCAAUCACUAUAACGAGACAAUUAAGUGUUGAUGUACUUCAUGGUAUAUUGAACUCUUUAGUAGUUGAGACUAGGAUCGACGUUGAUGAAGUGUUUCAACCCUGACUUUGGUUGAAAGACAAUUAAGUGUUUCAACAGAUAAAAGAGAAAGAUAAGACUAGAAAGACAAUUUCACAAUAACAUAAAUGAUACGUGUAGCCCCGGUUCUCCGACAGAUGUUCGGAUCUUGAGCUCACAUUGAACGAAGAACAGUUCGAAUAAAAGAAAGUCUCAAUUUAACGCAAUUUAUAAAGAAGACCGGUAAUUAAAAGAACAGCUCGACAGCGCACACCUCCUCGUCCGCUCGACGACGACGACCUCUAGUACACGAGGACGAUCUAGAAGUAACAAUCCAGCUUUGACUUACAACCACACCAACCAAAACUAAACUUAACAUUUGCCUUACGGCACCAACUAAACUUUAGAUUUAACUUUACAUGACAAAUAUCGACAACAUGAUAGACACAUUUUCGUACCGACAUUACCAAAACAUAACCUUUACCACG